rnacentral:misc_RNA from 1 species
GUGAAUCAUCGAAUUUUUGAACGCAAAUUGCACUUUCUGGUAUUCCGGAAAGUAUGCCUGUUUGAGGGUCAGUUAAAUAAAAAUCGGUGUUGUUGCUGCCUUUCGUGGUGACUCGUCGUAGUUGGGUCGGCUUACCGUCGGGUAAGUGGCUUAGAAUUGUUGCGUGAUGUUCGAACGUAUUUAAAUCGCUUACGUACGUUUGAGAUAUCUAAUGCUGAUUAGUUUCGGUCGUUACCAUGAUUCGCGCCUAUAAUUUUUCAUUAAAUGACCUCAAAUCAGGUAAGAAUACCCGCUGAACUUA